AGUGAACGCUGGCGGUAGGCCUAACACAUGCAAGUCGAACGGCAGCACAGUAAGAGCUUGCUCUUACGGGUGGCGAGUGGCGGACGGGUGAGGAAUACAUCGGAAUCUACUUUUUCGUGGGGGAUAACGUAGGGAAACUUACGCUAAUACCGCAUACGACCUACGGGUGAAAGCAGGGGAUCUUCGGACCUUGCGCGAUUGAAUGAGCCGAUGUCGGAUUAGCUAGUUGGCGGGGUAAAGGCCCACCAAGGCGACGAUCCGUAGCUGGUCUGAGAGGAUGAUCAGCAACACUGGAACUGAGACACGGUCCAGACUCCUACGGGAGGCAGCAGUGGGGAAUAUUGGACAAUGGGCGCAAGCCUGAUCCUGCCAUACCGCGUGGGUGAAGAAGGCCUUCGGGUUGUAAAGCCCUUUUGUUGGGAAAGAAAAGCAGCAGGUUAAUACCCCGCUGUUCUGACGGUACCCAAAGAAUAAGCACCGGCUAACUUCGUG
rnacentral:rRNA from 1 species